rnacentral:lncRNA from 1 species
AGCAAGGCUGGUCAGGAGAGGGAGUAGCCCAGGAGGCAGCGUGUUGCUAUUGCAUGCAGAUUGCCAUGGUGUCCUCUCUGCUGGGUGACUCUGAGCUGGGGUGGAAGGACAGGAGGUGUGAGUCACGGGACAUCACGGUGGGGUGCAUGCUGGAGAGAGAACAAGUUCAAAGGCCCCAGUGCAGGAUGGCAAGAAUUCGAGGCCUGGCACAGCGGUGCCUGGCUGGUGCAGCCGGGGGUUGGAUAUACAUGGGAGGUGCGGUCCUAGAGCACUGAGAGACGCUACAGGUCAUAGAGGGCCCUUCAUGCACGGUAGGCUUUGACUUUCCACUGAGAUGGGAUGCUUUGGAGGAGGCAGAGCAGAGGAAUGAUGUGAAUUUUUUUUUUAGUACUGGGAAUUGAGCCCAGGUCCUUUGCACUCAGCUACAUCCCCAGCCCCUUUUUAAAUUUUUUAGCUAGAGAUAGAGUCUCACUAAGUUGCUGAGUUGCCUAGGCUGGGCUUGAACUUGAGAUUCUCCUGCCUCAGCCUUUCUGAGAGCUGGGAUCACAGAUGUGUGCCACCACACCUAAAUCUGAGUUGUUUUAACAGAAUCCUCUAACUGCUGGGUGAAGAACAGACCGCGCUGGGAGGCAGGACCGGAAGCAGGGAGACUCAGGCCUGCUGCAGUGAGAGGAGAUGGCAGGCGGAGGCCAUGGGAAAGUUCUUGUUCUGGGUGGAGUUGGAAGGUAGCUGAAGGGUCAGCUGUGAGAGGCCUGGGGAAGAGAGGAGUGAAGGAGACUCCAAGACUUUGGUCUGCGUAGCCAGAAGAAUGGAGUUGUCCCAUCCUGAGCCUGCACGGGAGGUGCAGCAGGUUCCUUGGACAAAGUGGAGCCUUGGGGUUGUUUAGUCUGCGAUGCCUCUUAGAUAUCCAUGUGGAGGUGCUGGGUAGACAGUUGUGGGUCUGAGGCCAGGAGAGAGGUCUGGAUUACAGACAACUUUGCGAAUCAUCAGCCCACAAUGAAAUAAAGGGACUGAAAGGAAUUGUCUGGAGUAAGUGUGUAGACAGAGAGGACUGUGGAGCAUGGAAUCCUCGGGCUGCCGCUAGCACACACCCAGUGCUGCUGGACCAGCCCUUCAUGAUGCUGCCUUAGUGAUUGUGGUGGUUAAUUGUGACAUGUCAACUUGACUUGAGUUAGAACCGCCUAGCAGAUUAGUAGAGCUCUGGGAGUCUGUGAUGAUUGGCAUGUAGGCUGCAGGCUGAGGAGGGAAGACUCACCCUGGGUGUGGGUGGUACCAGCCAAUAGGCUUUUAGCUGGGAUGGAAUACAAAGGGAAAGAAGGAGGAAAUCUGCCCUUUUCUUUGGAGGAGCUCCGGUCUUCACCCUCAUCUUUGGAUGUUCAUUUUCAGCCUUCUAGGGCAGACCUUCUGGUUUCCCAACAGGGAUUCACAUUGGCUCUGCAACCUUGGGCUGGAUCCUCUGGCUCUCCAGUGCACAGACGGCCAUUCAGACAGAGACCAGGACCAGUGCUUCCAUUUCCUGGGGACUUUCAUUGAGAGGUCACAAGAAAGGAAGGUACUCAGUUGGGCUGCUGAAUAUGUGUGAAGAGGCUACUGCUGUGCCUGGCAAAUGAAGCUCGCUUUCCUGGCCUUCAGAUGCUGGUGGUGUGCUUUUAAAACAUUAAAGGAGAGAGCACAAGGCCAAGGGAAAGUCCACGGGAGCAGGAUGACAGCUGAGGUGGCUAAGCCCUAACUAUUACUAUUAGGAGCCAAAAGCGAGUCUCCAGUUGCCACGAUAACCAAAUUUACCCAAGGCCAAUGGUCGCCCAUACUCAGCAUUGUAUCAUCAGUCUUUUUCCUUGCCCUUUAAAUGUCAUGUUAAAUAAACCAGCAUGUUAU